UUUAGAAGUUAGAUUUUUGGGUAUCUCAACCUCUAUUGCAGUUGAUGAUCGUAUUCGCAAAGCCAACCAAAUUAUGAAAAUGUUUCUUAAUUUAUUUCAGAGAUCAGCCUGACUGUGACAGGUGAUAUUAGCAGUUUAUCUCAAAGGGCCUAUAGUCCCUCCUAUGCUAUAUAUUCUUCAGAUCCACCAUGAUGUAUUUGAACUCCCAGUCAUUGUUCUGUUGUAUGAUGUUAUACAGUGGUUUUCUUGGUCAGGGCUUGGAAAAGGGAUGAAUGUCUUAAUGUCUUAAAGAUCAUCACUAAUCUUCGAUAAGUGAUGAUCUUUAAUGUGGUAUGAAAGGGAUACAUAAUAAUCUUAAUCUUACUGUAAUAUAAUGUUGAACCAAGGGCGAGGCUAGCCUCUAUUUAGGGGUGCUUCAGCAUCCCCGCUUAGCAAAUGGUGUCAUCCUCUUCUCUCCUUCUACUUCUCCUCUGUCCCUGCACCGCUCAGCACGACCGUCAUCCAGCGCGAAACACACGCAGAGCGAGAACCCGUUAUGUAGUGUUGUGAAUCAACAAAGUUGCUCCAAAGCUGUGUAUCACACAUCUUUCCUUUUACCUAGAGUUGUUCCGAUUCCGAAACCAUAACGGUGAGUACUGGAGUCAGUAUCCGGAAUCACGGUACACCUAUAAUAAGUGUUUAUUUUCUGCCAGCGGGUCCAGCGGGUCGCCGCAGCUGUGGAGUAGCACAGGACCUGGGUGACUCGUCCAUAGUCAUAAACGGAGACUAUGUAGCGCCGGUUACAAUGUUCUUUCUGCAAGACGCAUGCAGUUCUGUUUAUUAACUGCUAGAGCGUGAAACAAAAACAGCAGCGCGACAAACUGCGUACCUGUGUAGUGCCUACGUGUGUCUCUGUUGUUAAAGUUAAUCGUUAAUUUUAUACUCAUUUUAACAAUCGGGAGUCAUAUAAACAUGACAUCAUGUGCAUCUUUUCUGGUCAGUUGUCAUGGAAACAUGUUUCCUUGUCUGGACCGAAUGAUCUGUGAACUUGAGAGGCGUUUUUCUGGUGUGAAUGAGGAUGUGCUCAAUGGAAUUCAGGCAUGCAGUCCAACCUCAGGCCAUUUCUUGUCUGAGCCUCAUCUGACAGCACUGGCUCUGCAUUACCAUAUUGUCAGGAAGUGAGAGUUGCAAAAAACUUUCUGAAGCGCUAGAGUGAGGCUGGUACAGUUCAGGACAUGCUAGCAGUGUACAAAUUCCUAGAUUCGGAAAUGUUUCCUUCACUGAAAGCUGUUAUGCAGGUUGCCUUGACAAUACCAGUUAGCAGCUGUACAUGUGAGCGGUCUUUUAGUGCCUUGCGUCACAGACCAAAGCAGACUCCAGCACCUAGCUGUGAUGUCUAUUGAGAAGGAGUUACUUGAAAAAUAAUUACACCAAAGGGUCAUUGACAGGUUUGCCACCCUCAAAGUGUGGCGACAUAGAUUAACUCUCCCAAAGUAGAGCCCAAUGAGGAUUCAGGGGAAGUACUUCAAAGAUUUCCCUCUCUUUCUUUUUUUUAAUAUAUUUUCUCUCUAAGUAUUUUCAAGACCUCUGUAAUUUAUCUGGAAUAUUUUGGACUUACCUUCUUUCUUUUCUUUUUUUGCUCUUGAUGUGAAGCUUGUUUUAUUAUUAUUUAUUGAUGACUUAUAUUGGUUUAUGAAAGUUCAGACAGGCGUGCAACCAGAUAGGUUAGAGAUGGCCAUUUGUAAAUGAUUUACAGAAGAAGAAUUACAUUUUGAUGUCCAAGUACUUUGUUCAAUGACAAUAAAAAAAAGAAGAAACAAAAUCUGGAUUUUGGAGUUGAACCAAUGUUAAAAUGAUAAUUAUUUUUCGUUGACAUAUUUUUCAGUAGACAUAUUUUUUUGUUUUUGUGUGAAAAGAGGGUGGGUGGUGGCAGUGGGGCUCAUUAGGUGCUCAGCACCCUUAAAGCUCUAACCCUAGAAUCGCCCCUGUGUUGAACCAUAUGUCAGAUUUACAUUUACAGUAACAUUUUUGAAAGACAGGACUGAACUAUAAGAAUGUCUUUUAACAGAUCAACCCAAGGCUGUCCUGAGUAUAUCUCCUCAGUGGAUGAACCCUGGAGACUCAGUAAGUCUGAUCUGUGAAGUUAAAGAGUUGUCUACAGGCUGGAUGUUCUCCUGGUACAAGACUGUUCCCUACAGAGCUGGGUUACCCUCUUUAUUGGACAAGUCCUACUCUGUAGAGCCCCUAUCUGGAUAUGGGACUACUGAAGAGUCUUACACUCUGAGUCCUGCUGGUCCUACUGACACAGGAGGAUAUGUGUGUAGAGCUGGGAGAGGAGACCCAGUCUAUUACACAGACUACAGCAUACCUCAGUGUCUCUGGUCAGGAGGUUCUCCUGUCUCCAUCUCUCUGUCCAGACUGCUGUGUGGUCUACUAGUGGUGUCUCCAUUUCUGCUGGUGUCCAUCAUACUGAUGGUGAAAUACUGCAGGGCUGGAGGUUUGUUUUCAAGAGCCAAAUCUCCUGAAGUCGAGGUACAAUGUCAUUAUGUCAACUAACAAAUUGAAUUUUCUUUGUGAUCCUUACAUUAUGCUUAAUGUUUUAUGUUGUACUUCUUCAUUAACAUUUCAAAAUGUGAAUUAAAAAACUCC